UGCCAGCAGCCGCGGUAAUACGGAGGGUCCGAGCGUUAUCCGGAAUUAUUGGGUUUAAAGGGUCCGCAGGCUGUUUGUUAAGUCAGGGGUGAAAUCCUACCGCUCAACGGUAGAACUGCCUUUGAUACUGGCAAACUUGAGUUAUUGUGAAGUAGUUAGAAUGUGUAGUGUAGCGGUGAAAUGCAUAGAUAUUACACAGAAUACCGAUUGCGAAAGCAGAUUACUAACAAUUAACUGACGCUCAUGCACGAAAGCGUGGGGAGCAAACAGGAUUAGAUA
rnacentral:rRNA from 1 species